CCUACGGGUGGCAGCAGUGAGGAAUAUUGGUCAAUGGGCUUACGCCUGAACCAGCCAAGUCGCGUGAGGGAAGACUGCCCUAUGGGUUGUAAACCUCUUUUGUCAGGGAGCAACGCCGGCUACGUGUAGCCGGACUGAGAGUACCUGCAGAAAAAGCAUCGGCUAACUCCGUGCCAGCAGCCGCAGUAAUACGGGGGAUGCGAGGGUUAUCCGGAUUUAUUGGGUUUAAAGGGUGAGUAGGCGGAAUGCCAAGUCAGCGGUAAAAUCGCGGGGCUCAACCUCGCUCCGCCGUUGAAACUGGCGUGCUUGAGUGGGCGAGAAGUAGGCGGAAUGCGUGGUGUAGCGGUGAAAUGCAUAGAUAUCACGCAGAACUCCGAUUGCGAAGGCAGCAUACCGGCGCCCAACUGACGCUGAAGCACGAAAGCGUGGGUAUCGAACAGGAUUAGAUACCCGGGUAGUC
rnacentral:rRNA from 1 species